CACAGCCUCAGCGAGCCAGGCAGUCCCCCAGCUUUUGCUUCACAGCUGUUGCCUCACUGGCACAAAGAAGGACGUUACAAAUACCUUGCGCAGUACCUUUCUUCAGCUUACCUAACAAGGAUUGAUCCCGCUUGUUCACAUCGAUGGCUCAACUCGGGGAGGAACCGCCAGCUCCGUCCCUUCUCUCAAAACCCCGGAGAGCGGCAGAGAUCCUGCUCCACCUCCCAAAGGGGAACGUGCUGCGUGACGUGGUGACCGAUGCAAUUCCCAACAUGAACCAGGGGCUUCCCUUAUACGGCGUGAAACGAUAACCCCGGUGGCUAACCCAGCCCUUUCUCCACCGAGCGACACCUCGUUGAUACGCGAAGAGGCGCAGCCUUCGUGUCUCUGUGCAACAACUGGAGGGGGAUUUAUUCAAACGUAACCCAGUGGCGACGCACGUCAGCCCGGGGGAGCGUCACCUGUUUGCUGUAACUCGGUGCAACUGCGAGGCUGCUGGGUUUGGUUUGGUUUGGCUGAAAAAUGGUUACUUGGAAGGAAGACAGAGCCAAGGAAACAAGAACUUUCCACGAGUGUCAGGCUGACAAAGCCUCAAUGUAUAUAACCCAACCCAGGAAAUUUAAUACUAAAAAAACCUAAGCAGAUAUGGAGAGCAGUCCUGAAACAGCCCCCGAGGUCUGCGAGUGAAGGAUGCUGACAAAGCGAAGGGGCCGGGAUGAAACCGUAGCCCGGCGGCGGAGCUGGUGGUGACCGUACGCAUCCCAGGGCUGAACCAAAGCCCAUUAGGAAGAAGAUUAAUUGAUUUAACGACCUUUGGAUCAGCCCGGUGGAUCCACCCUCACUGCCAAGGCGAUGGGUGCUGCCUAACGAGCAAUCAUGAUAUGCAUCGUCUCACCGGGCAGAAGAAGCUGUGAAAACACGAGCUUGUAACACAUUAACAGAGCCCUUUGAAGAGCCUUCGGUUACGGCGCUCGCGGGUGCCGACGGAGCUUCGGCAGGUGGAUGCUGCUGCCCAUGUAGUUUAAUAUAAAUACUGCCCGCGUGUUUGAAUAGAAACAUCACCUGGCAAAGCACCGUGGGUUUAUUUCAAAAACUAUUUGAGCGAAUAGCGUUACUACAGCUUUACGCCGGUGUUACCGAGAGUUUUCCGUGUGCUUCGCUCGCUCACAAAG